GUGAACGCUGGCGGUAGGCCUAACACAUGCAAGUCGAACGGCAGCACAGUAAGCGCUUGCUCUUACGGGUGGCGAGUGGCGGACGGGUGAGGAAUACAUCGGAAUCUACUUUUUCGUGGGGGAUAACGUAGGGAAACUUACGCUAAUACCGCAUACGACCUACGGGUGAAAGCAGGGGAUCUUCGGACCUUGCGCGAUUGAAUGAGCCGAUGUCGGAUUAGCUAGUUGGCGGGGUAAAGGCCCACCAAGGCGACGAUCCGUAGCUGGUCUGAGAGGAUGAUCAGCCACACUGGAACUGAGACACGGUCCAGACUCCUACGGGAGGCAGCAGUGGGGAAUAUUGGACAAUGGGCGCAAGCCUGAUCCAGCCAUACCGCGUGGGUGAAGAAGGCCUUCGGGUUGUAAAGCCCUUUUGUUGGGAAAGAAAAGCAGCAGGUUAAGACCCCGCUGUUCUGACGGUACCCAAAGAAUAAGCACCGGCGAACUUCGU
rnacentral:rRNA from 1 species